AAAAAAAAAAAAUGUUGAGAGCUAAUUUGGUGAAAAAAAAGGCAAGGCAAACUGCAUAAAAAGCGCAAAGGUCUUUUGAUGAAAACAGUUUCAGAACACAACUUGUAAUUUAGACGUAUGCCGUGAACUUUGGCUGGAACUGGGCUUGAUAUGCUCAGCUAUUGCUAAAAUUCAUUCCUAAAAGGCAAAGCAGUAUUGAAUGUAAUUGUGAAUUCAUUACCUUAUAAUUAUCUUUUUUCAAUGGAUUUUUAGAUUUUUCAAAACAGUUCAGCAACAAAGUUGAACAAUACUUUACAGGUUUCUUUAAACUUUUAAAAUAUAUAAAAAAUUGAAUAAAAGUUGAAAUAUAUAAACUUUUAUCGACAAAAGGACUAACAAAAUGCUGGAUAGAUAGAUAAUUUAUGGCACAUUUGUGCCCGGCGCAGGCUUACUCUAAAUUUGUGUACUGCGAUAAGAAUAAAAUCAUAGUUUAUAUCAAGUGAGUUUGUGUUGUUAUUUACAGUUUAUUUUGCAUUGACCAUUUUUCCUUAGGAAUUUUAUUUUUUCAUUAGUUUUACAAAUUAAAACAGGUAUAACUAUGUGAAUCCUUCAGUAAGCCAUAUGAAGGAGGUGAAAUCAUCUAGCGUAAAACAACA